AUGUAUAUUUCCACUACUAUAAUAACCCCAAUCCCCUUAAGCCUACCAAUCAUUAUCACCUUAAUUAAUCCCUGCAAAAAAGGUUCAUACCCAAAUUACGUAAAAAUAUCUAUCGCAGCCGCCUUCAUCAUUAGCCUCAUCCCCACAGCAAUGUUUAUAUGUAUAGACCAAGUCAUUACCUCAAACUGACAUUGAAUAACUAUUCAAAUUAUUAAACUCUCACUAAGCUUCAAACGAGACCACUUUUCCACCAUAUUUAUCCCAGUAGCACUAUUCGUUACCUGAUCUAUUGUAGAAUCCUCAAUAUGAUACAUAAACUCAGACCCUAACAUUAAUCAAUUUUUUAAAUAUUUACUUAUUUUCCUCAUCACAAUAUUAAUUCUGGUUACCGCCAACAACCUCUUUCAACGCUUUGUGGGAUAAGAAGGCAUAGGAAUCAUGUCUUUCUUACUAACUGGCUGAUGGUACAGCCGAGCAGAUGCUAAUACAGCAGCCCUCCAGACAGUUCUGUAUAACUGCAUCAGAGAUACUGGCUUUAUUUUAGCUAUAGCAUGAUUUCCCUUAACCUCCAACACAUGAAAAGCUUCAACAAGCGUUUAUUCUAAAUCCCACCCAUGACCCCUUCAAUUAAUUAGCCUUCUCUUAGCAGCCACAGGAAAGUCAGCUCAAUUCAGCCUCCAUCUCCGACUCCCAUCCGCCAUAGAAGGCCCAGCCCCAGUCUCAGCCCUGCUCCACUCCAGCACUGUAGUUGUAGCAGGUGUUUUCCUACUCGUCUGUUUCUACCCUUUAAUAGAAAAUAACCUAUUAAUCCAAACCUUCACGUUAUUGUCUAGGGGCUACUACUACCUUAUUUACAGCAAUCUGCGCUCUAAUGCAAAAUGAUAUUUAAAAAAUCAUAGCAUUCUCCACCUCAAGCCAGUUGGGCCUUAUGAUAGCCACAAUUGGCAUUAAUCAGCUGCACCUAGCAUUCUUUCACAUCUGCACCCACGCCUUUUUUAAAGCUAUAUUAUUUGUAUGUUCAGGGCCCAUCAUCCAUAACCUCAAUGAAGAAUAAGACAUCUGAAAAACAGGAGGGCUAUUCAAGACUCUACCUUUUACUUCUUCCUCCUUUAUUAUUGGUAGCCUUGCACUUACUGGUAUGCCUUUCCUCACAGGCUUUUACUCUAAAGACCUUAUUAUUGAAACCGUAAACACCUCAUAUACCAACGCCUGAGCACUUUCUAUUACUCUUAUUGCCACCUCCUUAACAGCUGUCUAUAGUAUCUGUAUUCUUCACUCUAAUAGGACAGCCUCGCUUCAUAACUCUAUUAUUAACGAAAAUAAUCCAUUCCUAAUUAACCCAACUAAGUGCCUAAAAAUCGGUAGCAUCUUCGCUGGAUUCCUCAUCACCAACAGUAUUAUUCCUGUUUCAUCUCCCCAAACAACCAUACCACUUCACCUAAAGUUCACAGCCCUAGCUGUGACCACCCUAGGCCUCUUCCUAGCAAUAGAGCUUAAUCUCAUAACUAAUAAUCUUAAACUAAGGUUCCCAUUACAGACAUUCAACUUCUCUAAUAUACUAGGAUUUUAUUCACUCACAAUUCACCGUUCAAUCCCCCACUCAAGCCUAUUCACAAACCAAAAUCUGGCUUUACUUCUACUAGACCUAAUUUGACUAGAAAAGUCCAUAGCAAAAGCCAAAGUCCAUUUCACAAACCCAAGUUUCAACUUCCAUUACCAUAUCUACUCAAAAAGGCCCAAUUAAACUCUACUUUCUCUCCUUUUUUAUUCCAUCCCUCUAACCCUAUUGUUAAUAGUCUAA
rnacentral:lncRNA from 10 species